UCUUUUGGAUCUGUCGGCUUUGCUAGAGUUCUAGCAAGGCCAUUUAAAAAGGUCGUCUCUUUGGAUUUUAGUAGUGUGAUGUUGGGGACAUAACUGAAAUUGAUCACUUUUACGAAGCGUUGAGGCUCCCUGAUAACUGUUUCGCCAAAAACACAGACAAAAUUGAAUUGGUAA